AAUGACAGGAAACAGUAAAAUCUCCUUCACGUCCAAUUGCAUUGCACCGAUCGUAGGUCUUCAAUAUCUGCAAGCUAUGGAAACACACACUGAGCCAUGGCAUCUUUGCUUAGCUAUUUUAAGAACUCUGCAAAUGGGAUCAAGGGGAAGGGUCAUGCACAUGGGAUCUGCAGUGGAAAUAACUAUGGUAGCGACGAUUCCUGCAGCCUCGCAAUCAAUGUAAGCGUCGAUCUCAUCCACUGACGGAAUGUUCCAACCUGUUAAAAUAGUAGAGGAGGCUGCGGCAGACGCCAUCUUGUUCCACAGACAUUAGAUGCUUCAAGCACUGAGGACAAGAUACUUCGAGCAACAAAUCAUUGUAGCGAGCACCAUCAUCAUUAUCGUUGUUACGGGUUUAUGAUUCGUUGUGGAAACUACGAUUCCUCUACAUGAAGAUGACAUAACGAGACAACAUGAAGAUGACAUCCUCUCUAUGUGUUAACCUUAAUUUCUUUGUGCAAUAGAAGCCAAAUAAACAUUGUUUCUUUGCAAGUACAAGGUUUAAACUACAUGUCAUAGUGAUACUUUAUUAUUGGCCAUGUAUUAGUCUAAGAUUUUUUUUAUCCACAAAUUCUCUUAAAUAUU
rnacentral:lncRNA from 1 species